GAUGAACGCUGGCGGCGUGCCUAAUACAUGCAAGUCGAGCGAACAGAUGAGGAGCUUGCUCCUCUGACGUUAGCGGCGGACGGGUGAGUAACACGUGGAUAACCUACCUAUAAGACUGGGAUAACUUCGGGAAACCGGAGCUAAUACCGGAUAAUAUAUUGAACCGCAUGGUUCAAUAGUGAAAGACGGUUUUGCUGUCACUUAUAGAUGGAUCCGCGCCGCAUUAGCUAGUUGGUAAGGUAACGGCUUACCAAGGCGACGAUGCGUAGCCGACCUGAGAGGGUGAUCGGCCACACUGGAACUGAGACACGGUCCAGACUCCUACGGGAGGCAGCAGUAGGGAAUCUUCCGCAAUGGGCGAAAGCUUGACGGAGCAACGCCGCGUGAGUGAUGAAGGUCUUCGGAUCAUAAAACUCUGUUAUUAGGGAAGAACAAAUGUGUAAGUAACUAUGCACGUCUUGACGGUACCUAAUCAGAAAGCCACGGCUAACUACGUG
rnacentral:rRNA from 1 species